rnacentral:rRNA from 1 species
CCUACGGGGGGCAGCAGUGAGGAAUAUUGGUCAAUGGGCGCUAGCCUGAACCAGCCAAGUAGCGUGAAGGAUGACUGCCCUAUGGGUUGUAAGCUUCUUUUAUAUGGGAAUAAAGUGCAGUAUGUAUACUGCUUUGCAUGUACCUUAUGAUUAAGGAUCGGCUAACUCCGUGCCAGCAGCCGCGGUAAUACGGAGGAUCCGAGCGUUAUCCGGAUUUAUUGGGUUUAAAGGGUGCGUAGGCGGGUGGUUAAGUCAGUUGUGAAAGGUUGCGGCUCAACCGUCAAAGUGCAGUUGAUACUGGCAUCCUGGAGUACAGUAGAGGUAGGUGGAAUUCGUGGUGUAGCGGUGAAAUGCGUAGAUAUCACGAAGAACACCGAUGGCGAAGGCAGCCUGCUGGACUGUAACUGACGCUGAUGCUCGAAAGUGUGGGGAGCAAACAGGAUUAGAUACCCGGGUAGUC